AUUUAGAAAGAAAAGUCCCUAUUUUCAUGCAUCAUUCUUCUGUCCUUAUUUUCUAUUAUCAUUGUUAUUAUUCAUCGGUGGUUUAGAUAUUUUGUAUUCAUGUACACUAAGCAGUGUGUUACAUAUUGUCUUAUAUUGUCUUAUAUUUAUAUUGAUCGCCUAGUUAAAGGACCACUAUAGUGCCAGGAAAACAUACUCGUUUUCCUGGCACUAUAGUGCCCUGAGGGUGC